GGCCCAAAGAGUAGUUUAAGAUUUAUCUAAAAUAGAAUUAAAAACUUAUUUAGCCGUCAUACGCAAACAUAAAUUAUAAAACCAAAAACGAAGGUUACUCUAUCAUAUACUUGAAUCUACUAUAAUUGAGAAACAAACUGGGAUUAGAUACCCCACUAUGCUCAAUUUUAAACUUUAGGUUUUCCCCGCCAGAGUACUACGAGCCACAGCUUAAAAUUCAAAGAACUUGGCGGUGCCCUAUACCCACCUAGAGGAGCCUGUUCUAUAAUCGACACCCCCCGAUAAACCUCACCAUCCCUUGCUAUAUCAGCCUAUAUACCACCGUCCUCAGCUUACCUUUUAAAAGAACAAAAGUGAACAAAAUAAUUUUAAAUAAAAAAGUCAGGUCAAGGUGUAGCACAUGGGAUGGAAAGAAAUGGGCUACAUUUUUUAUUAUAAAAAACACGAAAUACCUUAUGAAAUAAAGUAUGAAGGAGGAUUUAGAAGUAAAAAGAAAAAAGAGUGUUCUUUUUAAAUUGGCAAUAGAGCACGCACACACCGCCCGUCACCCUCUUCAAUACACAAUAAAUUAAAUAAAUAUAUAAUUAAAUAAGAAGAGGUAAGUCGUAACAUGGUAAGUCUACCGGAAGGUGGCCUUGGACAU
rnacentral:rRNA from 1 species